AGUGAACGCUGGCGGUAGGCCUAACACAUGCAAGUCGAACGGCAGCACAGUAAGAGCUUGCUCUUACGGGUGGCGAGUGGCGGACGAGUGAGGAAUACAUCGGAAUCUACUUUUUCGUGGGGGAUAACGUAGGGAAACUUACGCUAAUACCGCAUACGACCUACGGGUGAAAGCAGGGGAUCUUCGGACCUUGCGCGAUUGAAUGAGCCGAUGUCGGAUUAGCUAGUUGGCGGGGUAAAGGCCCACCAAGGCGACGAUCCGUAGCUGGUAUGAGAGGAUGAUCAGCCACACUGGAACUGAGACACGGUCCAGACUCCUAUGGGAGGCAGCAGUGGGGAAUAUUGGACAAUGGGCGCAAGCCUGAUCCAGCCAUACCGCGUGGGUGAAGAAGGCCUUCGGGUUGUAAAGCCCUUUUGUUGGGAAAGAAAAGCAGCAGGUUAAUACCCCGCUGUUCUGACGGUACCCAAAGAAUAAGCACCGGCUAACUUCGUG
rnacentral:rRNA from 1 species